rnacentral:rRNA from 1 species
CCUACGGGAUGCAGCAGUGGGGAAUAUUGCGCAAUGGGCGAAAGCCUGACGCAGCGACGCCGCGUGGGGGAAUGAAGGUCUUCGGAUUGUAAACCCCUGUCAUGUGGGAGCAAAUUAAAAAGAUAGUACCACAAGAGGAAGAGACGGCUAACUCCGUGCCAGCAGCCGCGGUAAUACGGAGGGUGCGAGCGUUAAGCGGAAUUACUGGGCGUAAAGCGCUCGUAGGCGGUAUGUCAAGUCAAGGGUGAAAUCCCCGCGCCCAACGUGGGAACUGCCUUUGAAACUGGCAAACUGGAGUGUGUGAGAGGAUAGUGGAAUUCCAGGUGUAGGAGUGAAAUCCGUAGAUAUCUGGAGGAACAUCAGUGGCGAAGGCGACUAUCUGGCACAUAACUGACGCUGAGGAGCGAAAGCGUGGGUAGCAAACAGGAUUAGAUACCCGAGUAGUC